rnacentral:rRNA from 1 species
UUAAGCGACUAAGCGUACACGGUGGAUGCCCUGGCAGUCAGAGGCGAUGAAGGACGUGCUAAUCUGCGAUAAGCGUCGGUAAGGUGAUAUGAACCGUUAUAACCGGCGAUUUCCGAAUGGGGAAACCCAGUGUGAUUCGUCACACUAUCAUUAACUGAAUCCAUAGGUUAAUGAGGCGAACCGGGGGAACUGAAACAUCUAAGUACCCCGAGGAAAAGAAAUCAACCGAGAUUCCCCCAGUAGCGGCGAGCGAACGGGGAGCAGCCCAGAGCCUGAAUCAGUGUGUGUGUUAGUGGAAGCGUCUGGAAAGGCGCGCGAUACAGGGUGACAGCCCCGUACACAAAAAUGCACAUACUGUGAGCUCGAUGAGUAGGGCGGGACACGUGGUAUCCUGUCUGAAUAUGGGGGGACCAUCCUCCAAGGCUAAAUACUCCUGACUGACCGAUAGUGAACCAGUACCGUGAGGGAAAGGCGAAAAGAACCCCGGCGAGGGGAGUGAAAAAGAACCUGAAACCGUGUACGUACAAGCAGUGGGAGCCUCUUUAUGGGGUGACUGCGUACCUUUUGUAUAAUGGGUCAGCGACUUAUAUUCUGUAGCAAGGUUAACCGAAUAGGGGAGCCGAAGGGAAACCGAGUCUUAACUGGGCGUUAAGUUGCAGGGUAUAGACCCGAAACCCGGUGAUCUAGCCAUGGGCAGGUUGAAGGUUGGGUAACACUAACUGGAGGACCGAACCGACUAAUGUUGAAAAAUUAGCGGAUGACUUGUGGCUGGGGGUGAAAGGCCAAUCAAACCGGGAGAUAGCUGGUUCUCCCCGAAAGCUAUUUAGGUAGCGCCUCGUGAAUUCAUCUCCGGGGGUAGAGCACUGUUUCGGCAAGGGGGUCAUCCCGACUUACCAACCCGAUGCAAACUGCGAAUACCGGAGAAUGUUAUCACGGGAGACACACGGCGGGUGCUAACGUCCGUCGUGAAGAGGGAAACAACCCAGACCGCCAGCUAAGGUCCCAAAGUCAUGGUUAAGUGGGAAACGAUGUGGGAAGGCCCAGACAGCCAGGAUGUUGGCUUAGAAGCAGCCAUCAUUUAAAGAAAGCGUAAUAGCUCACUGGUCGAGUCGGCCUGCGCGGAAGAUGUAACGGGGCUAAACCAUGCACCGAAGCUGCGGCAGCGACACUAUGUGUUGUUGGGUAGGGGAGCGUUCUGUAAGCCUGCGAAGGUGUACUGUGAGGUAUGCUGGAGGUAUCAGAAGUGCGAAUGCUGACAUAAGUAACGAUAAAGCGGGUGAAAAGCCCGCUCGCCGGAAGACCAAGGGUUCCUGUCCAACGUUAAUCGGGGCAGGGUGAGUCGACCCCUAAGGCGAGGCCGAAAGGCGUAGUCGAUGGGAAACAGGUUAAUAUUCCUGUACUUGGUGUUACUGCGAAGGGGGGACGGAGAAGGCUAUGUUGGCCGGGCGACGGUUGUCCCGGUUUAAGCGUGUAGGCUGGUUUUCCAGGCAAAUCCGGAAAAUCAAGGCUGAGGCGUGAUGACGAGGCACUACGGUGCUGAAGCAACAAAUGCCCUGCUUCCAGGAAAAGCCUCUAAGCAUCAGGUAACAUCAAAUCGUACCCCAAACCGACACAGGUGGUCAGGUAGAGAAUACCAAGGCGCUUGAGAGAACUCGGGUGAAGGAACUAGGCAAAAUGGUGCCGUAACUUCGGGAGAAGGCACGCUGAUAUGUAGGUGAAGUCCCUUGCGGAUGGAGCUGAAAUCAGUCGAAGAUACCAGCUGGCUGCAACUGUUUAUUAAAAACACAGCACUGUGCAAACACGAAAGUGGACGUAUACGGUGUGACGCCUGCCCGGUGCCGGAAGGUUAAUUGAUGGGGUUAGCGGUAACGCGAAGCUCUUGAUCGAAGCCCCGGUAAACGGCGGCCGUAACUAUAACGGUCCUAAGGUAGCGAAAUUCCUUGUCGGGUAAGUUCCGACCUGCACGAAUGGCGUAAUGAUGGCCAGGCUGUCUCCACCCGAGACUCAGUGAAAUUGAACUCGCUGUGAAGAUGCAGUGUACCCGCGGCAAGACGGAAAGACCCCGUGAACCUUUACUAUAGCUUGACACUGAACAUUGAGCCUUGAUGUGUAGGAUAGGUGGGAGGCUUUGAAGUGUGGACGCCAGUCUGCAUGGAGCCGACCUUGAAAUACCACCCUUUAAUGUUUGAUGUUCUAACGUUGGCCCCUAAUCGGGGUUGCGGACAGUGUCUGGUGGGUAGUUUGACUGGGGCGGUCUCCUCCUAAAGAGUAACGGAGGAGCACGAAGGUUGGCUAAUCCUGGUCGGACAUCAGGAGGUUAGUGCAAUGGCAUAAGCCAGCUUGACUGCGAGCGUGACGGCGCGAGCAGGUGCGAAAGCAGGUCAUAGUGAUCCGGUGGUUCUGAAUGGAAGGGCCAUCGCUCAACGGAUAAAAGGUACUCCGGGGAUAACAGGCUGAUACCGCCCAAGAGUUCAUAUCGACGGCGGUGUUUGGCACCUCGAUGUCGGCUCAUCACAUCCUGGGGCUGAAGUAGGUCCCAAGGGUAUGGCUGUUCGCCAUUUAAAGUGGUACGCGAGCUGGGUUUAGAACGUCGUGAGACAGUUCGGUCCCUAUCUGCCGUGGGCGCUGGAGAACUGAGGGGGGCUGCUCCUAGUACGAGAGGACCGGAGUGGACGCAUCACUGGUGUUCGGGUUGUCAUGCCAAUGGCACUGCCCGGUAGCUAAAUGCGGAAGAGAUAAGUGCUGAAAGCAUCUAAGCACGAAACUUGCCCCGAGAUGAGUUCUCCCUGACUCCCUGAGAGUCCUGAAGGAACGUUGAAGACGACGACGUUGAUAGGCCGGGUGUGUAAGCGCAGCGAUGCGUUGAGCUAACCGGUACUAAUGAACCGUGAGGCUUAACCUU